GGCUAACUAGGCAUUUGCCCUGGGCAUUUGGGGGGCGGCGUUUUUUGCCGCCCCCUGAAAAAUGCCGCCCAAGGCAAAUGCCUUGUUUGCCUCGCUGCUAAUACGCCCCUGCGGAAGAGGGUCUGCUGUGCUUGGGGAUAGGAUGGCUAGAAGGUUGGAGGAGAUUUUAAACUAGUAGUAGGGGGGGAGGGUCAAAGCAAUCUAGAAAAUGGAGAUAGGAUAGAAAGGAGAUGAGCUUUAGCUCAGUGUAAGGGUGGUGGAGAUGGGGGAAGGGGAAAGCUCAGAUAAUAUUGAUGAAAAUUAAAAUUCACAAAAAGUACAAAUGACUCAUGAUAAUAUUAAAUGUAUGCUUACUAAUGAAAGGGGCCUAUAGACCAAAAUGGGGGAACUAGAGGCAAUAGCAUACACUAAACAAUAUGAUAUAAUAGGCAUAACAGAAACAUGGUGGGACGAGACACAUGACUGGGCACUUAACUUAAAUGGGUACACGUUAUUUAGGAAGGAUAGGAAAAACAAAAAGGUGGUGGGGUAUGUUUGUAUGUCAACCAUGAGUUAAAGCCAAAUCUUAGGCAUGUGGAGUGUGACGAGGAAAAUGUGGAAGAUUUAUGGGUAGAUAUCUACUUGGGGCAAACUAAGGGAAAUUAAUUAUUGGUUGGGAUAUGUCAAAAACCACCUAAUGUAAAUAGAAUGAGGAAGAACAGCUGUUAGAGCAAAUUGGGAAAGCUGCAAAUCGGGGGAAUAUUUAAUUAUUGGAGAUUUUAAUAAAUUGGGAUAGAGGGACUAGUACGUCAGCAAGGGGAAUCAGGUUUUUGAAUGUGUUAAAUAACACCUUUAUGUCACAACUGGUACAAGCACCAAUUAGAAAGGAUGCUUGUCUGGAUCUUGUUAGAACAAACAAUGUUGAUCUUUUGACCAACAUUCAAGUAGGGGAGCAUUUAGGAAAUAGUGAUCACAAUAUGGUAUUUUUUAAAAUUAACUCAAAAAAGCAAAAGCACGUGGGGUAUACUAAAGCAUAUAAAUUUUCAAAAAGCCUCCUUAGUAGUGAUGUCCCGAACGGUUCGCCGCGAACGGUUCGCCACGGACUCAUCAUUGAGUAAACUUUGACCCUGUACCUCACAGUCAGCAGACACAUUCCAGCCAAUCAGCAGCAGACCCUCCCUCCCAGACCCUCCCACCUCCUGGACAGCUCACUAAGAAUGCAUCUUCACAAUGAAUGUAAAAUGGAUGCUGUCCAGGAGGUGGGAGGGUCUGAUAUGAUGAAAAAAUGUAAAUAAAACAUACCUAAAAUCUGUUACGCAUCUACAACCGCCAGAAAACACCCGUGCUAAAUAGUUUUGAAAUUUUGUCCUGAGUUUAGAAAUACCCAAUGUUAACAUGUUCUUAGCUUUUUUUGGAAAGUUAUAGGAGGUGGGAGGGUCUGCUGCUGAUUGGCUGGAAUGUGUCUGCUGACUGUGAGGUACAGGGUCAAAGUUUAUGUUUCUGUUCGCAGUCUGCGGCGAACCGUUCGGGACAUCACUAUUCCCAAACCAUUUUUAAAAAAAUUUACGCAAGUUACAUUGUAACACUGGUAUGUCAGGAAUAACCCUUCACAUGUAUAUAUUUUUUUAAAAGAAGACAACCGAAGGUAUUAAACUUGGGGUAUUUUGACUCUUUUCAUGGUAUUUUGACUCUUUUCAUGCAACCAAUUAACCACCAAUAUAUGCCAAAUUAAAUUUUUUUUUAAUAAAUGGUGAUUUUUUUUGACACACAAUUUAAGAAUACUUGUACUGAGAACUUUAAGGGUUACUGCCAAAGAACACCCCAAUAUGUGUUCAGCAACAUCUCCUGAGUACAGUGAUACCCCCCAUAUAUAGGUGUGUUGGGUUCUCUGUG
rnacentral:lncRNA from 1 species